rnacentral:rRNA from 1 species
GAUGAACGCUGGCGGCGUGCCUAAUACAUGCAAGUCGAGCGAACGGACGAGAAGCUUGCUUCUCUGAUGUUAGCGGCGGACGGGUGAGUAACACGUGGAUAACCUACCUAUAAGACUGGGAUAACUUCGGGAAACCGGAGCUAAUACCGGAUAAUAUUUUGAACCGCAUGGUUCAAAAGUGAAAGACGGUCUUGCUGUCACUUAUAGAUGGAUCCGCGCUGCAUUAGCUAGUUGGUAAGGUAACGGCUUACCAAGGCAACGAUGCAUAGCCGACCUGAGAGGGUGAGCGGCCACACUGGAACUGAGACACGACCCAGACUCCGACGGGAGGCAGCAGUGGGGACUCUUCGGCAGUGGGCGAAAGCCGGAGGGAGCAACGCCGCGUGGAUGAGGAAGGUCUUCGGAGCGUAAAACUCUUUUAUUAGGGAAAAAAAUAGGGGUAAGAAACUGUGCACAUCUGGACGGUACCUAAACAAAAAGCCACGGCAAACUACGGG